GGGUCCGGAGCACAGGCUCCGGAGGUUUGGGAUGGUUGGGCCGCCAUCC
rnacentral:ncRNA from 2 species